UAUAAAGCAGCGCCCAGUGAAGGGAGAGUUUAUCAAGAACCAGGCACAAGGACAGGAGCACACACCAUGAUUUCACACAUCCAGCUGAUCUGGCCCCUGACAUUCUGUGUCGCAGGUAUCAGUGGGGACAUCACCAUGACCCAGUCUCCCCCGGUGCUGACAGUGGGACUGGGCCACACUGCAACCAUCACCUGUACGGCCAGUCAAAGCAUUAGCAGCUACCUUGCUUGGUACCAGCAGCGAGAAGGUCAGAAACCCUCUCUCCUGAUCUAU